CUGUGCCUGUUUGUCCUGCUGAUGCUCCAGUGGCUGCUCCCACAUCCCAGCCUAGGACCAAUGCCACUGAAGACAGACCUGGCCCCUGGGGACCCAGGAGACUUACAGGACUCACUCAGCUGUCCCCAGGAGUCCCCAGACCUGCAUUCUUAUCAAGGACCUGGGAGCCCAGAGGGCCAUAAAUGAUGAUUUGCUGUUGCUGUGAUUAUCACUGCCUUUAGUGGCCAAGGGCCUUCCAAGGUGCCAGCUCUGGAAGGAAAGAUGUCCUUGGGAGGUGAUGACACUUGGUACACAGAUGCUUGACAGGUUGUUUCCUCCUAUCCUCAGACAGCCUUUGACACAGCCAUUGUUUGGAAGGAAACCAGCCCAGGGUCACACAGCUGGUCUCAAAUCUAAGGUGCCUGGCUCUGCCUCCACAAGGGACCUGCCUGCAAGGGAGGUUGACCCUGGCUUGGGGGAACCUUUCCUGGGCUACAUGAAUCACCUCCCCUGUUUGAGGCCCCAAACUGCUCACAUCUCCUUCCUUGCCCAGUCUCUGCUUGGGCUAUAAUCAAGGUGACCACAGCAACCCUUCAUGGACAUCAUGGUGCUACUCUCAUGCAGCCAAGACUGACUGUGAGAAACCCUGGGAGCUCAGGAAGGAAGGAGCCGCUCAGAAGCAGGGAUGGGAGCUGGUGGGAAAGACCAGAAGUCAGGCGAUCAGGUUUCUACUUGAUUAUUUGUAUCCUGGGCAUGACCUUCUUGGUGUUCUGUGGAUGCCUAUCCCUAUUGUGUUUCUGGGAGUUUCCACAGUUGGCCUUUUCCUCCGAAAAAUUAUCUUCUGUCUCCAUGCUGGAGCCUUGGAGAGGGAGAUGGCUGAGAGGAAGCCUGCCUACAAGCAGCACAGGAGGAGAAAGCAGAGAGUGCCAGAGAGACACGAGUGAGGAGCCAGCCCAGAAACGCCUGUGCACUGAGAACACUUUCUGGAGAGGUAGGAGCUCCCAUGAAGGCAGCCGCCUAAUUUCUGCUGCACAAUCCACACACCCUGCUUCUCCUUUUUGGGGUGAGGGCUCGGGUGGGGUAAUUGUCAUAUUUCCUGGAAACAGUUCCAAGCACUUCUGAAGAGAACAGUUUCCCCAUUGGGUGGCAGGGCCCCAUUUUUCUCAGGUGCCCUAGCUGAAUGGCUCUUGGCUGGUCCCCUGUGAAUGGUGCAGGCCCCUCCACUGACUGUGGACAUUGCCCCACCCUGACGUCUUAGUUACUUUUAACUGCGAAGAUAAGCCUGCAAGGCAAAUGGGCCAGCUCCCCUUCCCACCUUGAGUCAGUGUGAAGGCUUUUUCUUUCAUUUGAGAAAAGUCACAACAAUAACAUUUUAGAAGCUGUAAGUGCUGAUGAGAGCAGAGAUUUUUGGGCAAUGUCUUCAUGGAUCAAUAAGGCAGUAUCAUGAGGUGUGCUUUAAGAAAAGAAUCAUUUAUUUGCACUUUUUGGACCUUCCUUCAUUCUUUUUGCUUGUUUAAAUUGUGGAUUG
rnacentral:lncRNA from 13 species